UUUGGAUGGCAUUAUCGAUUCAGGAAGCGUUUUAAAUAGUAAUAAAUCAUCAAGUGAUGAUGGUGUAAACGUGCAAACUAAUUGUAAUAAGUUUUCUUCGCAUUCAUCUCUAACUGAAUCGAAUUUCAAGUAUGGAACGUAUAAACCAAUAGAAUGGACUAUAGAAUAGCAUAGCAUAUAGCUAUAGAAUAGCAGUCUACUAUGAGCUUGAUGUAUUCAACUAAUGGUGGUGGUCGUUUUAUUUUUGACUGAUGCAAAAGUAAACUGAUAGAGGUUGUUAUUAAAGAACUUAGACGACACAAGGUUUUUUGAAGAUUUUUUUAUGAAAUAUCCAGAAACAAAAAACUAUCGACAUAAUUGGCUGUACUUUAUUAAAAAAGUGGACUUUGUUUUCAAACGACUUAUUGAGCUCGCAUAGAAAUUUAGUGAAAGAUAGUGAAAAUGCUAACGACUUAUUAAAACAACUCGUCGAUACUAUACGACUAUUUAAUACUAGAACAAGCAACGCAUUGAAACUUGUACUAAUUCCAUAUCUAGUAUUAACUAAAACUCAAAUGAAAACAAACAAAAAGUCUGGGAAAUCAUCGCUAGUUGAAUGCGUUUCGUCUUUUGUUAUAAAUGUUUCAGUAUAAAUAAACGAAAAGAUGCACACCUUUAAGUUCAUAACGCAUUAAGUGUUUUAAUUUUAUAUGAACUUGUGUCACAUUCAAUACAUGUCGUAUUGAAAUUAUUUAUAUAAAUAUUCAUUUUCGGAAUUUAAACGAUUCAGAAUUCAAAAUAAUUUACCCGACUCAAAUCCGACCAUUAAAAGAGUUUUGGGUACCGGUAAAAACUACGAGACCCUUAAAUAUAUUUUAUAACUGUUAUACGGUUGUAUAUUUAAAAAUGUAUAUCUUAUUGUUUAUUAAUAAUAUUAAA